AGACUGGUAUCCCGUAUUUACCACUGAACAGGUACAGCAGAGUGAGUGGCAGUACCAGCAUCCUCAUACUGCCCUGCCAAUGGGCCUGAACUCUGAUCCAGAGGGGCUAUCUCCACGAGAGAGAGCAGAGGACUUAUUCUUGCAGAUCCCAGCUCAUUACUCUCAUGGUCUCCAGCCAGGUGGCAUCCUGGAUGGGGCCCUCGAGCAUAGCUAAAGAAAGAUAGAACAGGGAUCCUGGCUGGGUGUGCAUGGACAGGAGGAAUGCCUCCCGAACUGCAUCAUUCCCCUUACCCUGCAGAAGCCCCUUAUCAGAUAUCUUACAGAGUUUCAGCCCUGCAGCGUGAUGGAGCAUACCCCGGGAACUGCCACUCUGCUACAUCACCCUGAGGGAAUUUAGAGGGUAAGUGAACGCUGGCUCCAGGAAGCCAUUUCAGGAGCAAUGGCUGGUGGAACUGUGGGUCCAUCAGGGGCAGGAAAGAGUCAUGAGCUCCUACAGCAGUGCAGAGGCAUGGGGCCUAUGCAGAGAUGGUUAGAGAUCUGGGGUUCCAGAGAGCUGAACCCCAUUCAACGUCCAUGAUGUGUAAGGGAGAAGCAGAGGCAGCCUUCCCCAAAGGAGUGAUCAGAUAAAGAAUGGUGGAGUGUCCAGUCCUGAUGAUGAGAGUACCUGUGCGGAUACCCCCAGACUACCUGAUUUAUCUGUCUUUUUGCCUAAUGCUCCUGUUGCGGGGGCUCCCACUUCAUGGUGGGGGUCUUUGGCUGAGGCUGCUUACAGCCUAGGCAUUCCAUUGAACAUCUCAGAAACCUUUUGUCUAGAAUAGAGUGGGGAGACCAGUCAGCUGGCUGUGAUAUAGUUAUAAUAAACAGCUCUCAUGCUGUUAAUUAAAUGUCUCAACUCUAUGGCAGCUGUUUUUUCCUUCCCCUACUUAAACCAACCAAGUGGUUUUAUUCAAUUACCUAAAAGGUUAGUGGGCUCUGGUAGCUUAGAAUAGGUCCAUUAUGGAUCUGUAUGUUAUAUUUAUCUAACAGAUUGGCCACAGAUUAAAAGCUUUUAAUUCAUAGGUGUGAUAUCACUAAAAGCAAGUAAUUUGCAGGUAUAGUGUUCUCUGUGUGAACGGCAACGUCUACUGAAGAAAUGCAAGCAAAGAUUUUCAAAAGCAGGGGCCUAAAGUUAGCCUCCUCAAUCUGUAUCUAGGUAUCUGGCUAAGUGACUGGCAGGA